rnacentral:lncRNA from 1 species
AUGAUGAGGAACAGGAGUUUCUCUAAAUCUGAGACAAAUCAAGAGUUUGCGAAGACCUGGAGCAACCCAAACAUUAAAGUGUCGAAAAUGUCUAUAAGUUCAAACACAGAGAGUCCAGGUUUCCGUUCAUCUCCAAAAACUGCUCUGGAAUCAAAUUUAGGUUCUCCAAUGAUGCUUUAUGAGACAAGGUCACUCAAGCUAAGUCCUUCAUCAGAACAUCAGACCAGUAAUCUGAGAAGUGACGCAGAGCAAAAAACCUCCCUAAGCCCAAAGGUUUUACCCAAAAACCCCACAACAAUAAAGACUACCGUCAACGAUGGUCCCAAAGCAGACCCAACCAUCCCUUCACAGACUUUAGAUCUUUCUGAACAGCCUUACACUGUAAUCAUGAAAUCCAGUCCACUCCUCAACAUGGCUGCCCUGUCUACAGGAACCUCACAUUUUAAAGCUUCCAAGGAUGAUUUUACUCUGAAAGACAACACACUCUUAGAAGACAACAGUGUUAGGAAACAACAUGGAUACCUGAAGAUGAACCCAGUGACAGAACCCCCAGCAGGUUCAAUCCUGUUGUCCCAAGCCUCAAGAGGAGACCCAGAAUCGUCCAGACUACACAACCCCAAAGUCGCCACUGAACAAAAUAUUACUUCAACCCAAGUGUUGAAUAAACACCUCUCACUGAGAACCACUGUUCUGAAAACCCUUAAAGUCUCUGACAAAGAGAAUCAGGAUGAUUUAGCUCCUCUUUCUGGAUUCAGGAAGUCAAAAACAAAUCUAUUCAACAAUCAGACCUUGAAAGUUUCUGGAAACUCAACUUAUAAGCAGAAAGACACUGAUGAGUCAAGUGCUACGUCCUUUAAAGUUCCUCACUCCAAACAGGAUCCUUCGAAGACCAGAUCUUUCAGUGACCACAUGAGGCCCUCCAUGACUCCCAGGUCUCAGAAAUCUACAUUUGUACCUGAUGCUAAAAGAAAAAGUGACAAAAAAGAGAUAAACAUCUCCAGAGAUUUGAUUCCAACUGUAUUGGUAGACCAAAGGACUUCAACAAGAAACUUCAGCCAUCACCACUUUGGUGGAUUUGAUUUAAAUGAAUCUCAACUGUCCACACCUUCUCCUCCUCGAACAUCCUCCUCAAAUCUUAUGCUGCUCCCGCCAUCGUCCCAGUCUCUGAUUCCUCCAUACUCCAUCUUCAGUACCAAAAAUCCAGCUGCCAACGAUCACAUCCUUCAGGGAGGAGCUUUUCACCCUGGCACCAACAGUCUCAGGUAA